rnacentral:rRNA from 1 species
GAUGAACGCUGGCGGCGUGCCUAAUACAUGCGAGUCGAGCGAACAGACGAGGAGCUUGCUCCUCUGACGUUAGCGGCGGACGGGUGAGUAACACGUGGAUAACCUACCUAUAAGACUGGGAUAACUUCGGGAAACCGGAGCUAAUACCGGAUAAUAUAUUGAACCGCAUGGUUCAAUAGUGAAAGACGGUUUUGCUGUCACUUAUAGAUGGAUCCGCGCCGCAUUAGCUAGUUGGUAAGGUAACGGCUUACCAAGGCAACGAUGCGUAGCCGACCUGAGAGGGUGAUCGGCCACACUGGAACUGAGACACGGUCCAGACUCCUACGGGAGGCAGCAGUAGGGAAUCUUCCGCAAUGGGCGAAAGCCUGACGGAGCAACGCCGCGUGAGUGAUGAAGGUCUUCGGAUCGUAAAACGCUGUUAUUAGGGAAGAACAAAUGUGUAAGUAACUAUGCACGUCUUGACGGUACCUAAUCAGAAAGCCACGGCUAACUACGUG